UGGAAAAAACCCCUGUUGUAGCCCCCUUGUUGAGGGGGGCAUAUAUAAGUGGGCCUCAACAACCACUUAGUCAACACGGGUCAAAAAAUUUACUAACAGGUUGGGGCGGGCUUUUUUAGAGUUCGCUUCAAUAGAACUUGUUGGAGGGGGCUUUAUAUUGCCCGCCUCAAUAGAUACUAGUCUAAAGGGGCGGGCUUUGUUUUGUUCGCUUCAACCGAUAUUCACGAAAUUUAAAACAAUAAAAACAUAGCUUCUCAUCGCCAAACCGAUAAAACAAUCCCUUCAAAUCUCUAUAUUCAAACAAAGCAAGUACGCUUCUAGUGCAAUCUGCAGGCGAGUUCGCACCGCUCCUCACCGCGCGCCUCCACCACCACCACCACCUUCCUCGCCUCCUCUUCCAUAGUAGUCGCCCCCGACCGUCGUCUUCCCUAUCUCGGUUGACUCUGUUUCACACAGUGACGCAAUCUGUCAAGUUUUUGGCUAUGAGCCUCAUUCGGUGUUGCCAAUUGGUGUUGUUUCUCUUGCUGAUCUUACAGUUUUUCUUCCUUUCUCGAAAAUUAACGUCUUUGCUAGUACUGUUAUAUUCUACACUCCUUUUUUGAGGCAUAUAUGGACAUGGUUGGGUCUAUCUCCAGCAACUAGAAAGAAUUUUAAAUCUCGUCUGGCUUCAGGUUACAGUUGUAUCAUAGUGCCUGGUGGAGUACAAGAGACGUUCCAUAUGGAGCAUGGCUCUGAGCUUGUUUUGAGUACUGGAAGCGGUGUUAAUGGUUUCACUCUAGAUCCAUCUCUUGGAGUGUAUAUUUUAACUCAUCCAGACAUCAAGGGAUCGAGUCGAUUGGAAGAAAGUCAACACGGCCUUAAUUAAGGUUUGUAAUGCAUGAUCUAAAGGGAGCUAAGUGGCCAGAUUAGAGAAAUUUGUUAGACUAGCUCUCUAGCCUUUUGUCUUUAUUUGUUAAUAUUAGUUUUAAUUUGUUAGACUAGCUAGCUAGGUGUUUAAAAAUUGUAAACGUACGUACUAUACGCUUUUCUCUAUUGGGUUAAUAUAAAUGAAGUUAAUUUAAUGAUUUAUUAAUAAAAAAUAA